rnacentral:rRNA from 1 species
AGUGAACGCUGGCGGUAGGCCUAACACAUGCAAGUCGAACGGCAGCACAGUAAGAGCUUGCUCUUACGGGUGGCGAGUGGCGGACGGGUGAGGAAUACAUCGGAAUCUACUUUUUCGUGGGGGAUAACGUAGGGAAACUUACGCUAAUACCGCAUACGACCUACGGGUGAAAGCAGGGGAUCUUCGGACCUUGCGCGAUUGAAUGAGCCGAUGUCGGAUUAGCUAGUUGGCGGGGUAAAGGCCCACCAAGGCGACGAUCCGUAGCUGGUCUGAGAGGAUGAUCAGCCACACUGGAACUGAGACACGGUCCAGACUCCUGCGGGAGGCAGCAGUGGGGAAUAUUGGACAAUGGGCGCAAGCCUGAUACAGCCAUACCGCGUGGGUGAAGAAGGCCUUCGGGUUGUAAAGCCCUUUUGUUGGGAAAGAAAAGCAGCAGGUUAAUACCCCGCUGUUCUGACGGUACCCAAAGAAUAAGCACCGGCUAACUUCGUG